CACGGGGGGAGCAAGCGUUGUUCGGAAUCACUGGGCGUAAAGGGCGUGUAGGCGGCCCGAUAAGUGGGAUGUGAAAUGCCUCGGCUCACCCGAGGCACUGCAUCUCAGACUGUCGGGCUUGAGUACGGGAGAGGAUGAGGGAAUUCCUGGUGUAGCGGUGAAAUGCGUAGAUAUCAGGAGGAACACCGGUGGCGAAGGCGCUCAUCUGGCCCGAUACUGACGCUGAGGCGCGAAAGCUAGGGUAGCAAACGGG
rnacentral:rRNA from 1 species